UGGGGAAUCUUGCGCAAUGCGCGAAAGCGUGACGCAGCAACGCCGCGUGGGGGAAGAAGGCUUUCGGGUUGUAAACCCCUUUCAGUUGGGACGAAGCUUCGCCGGUGAAUAGCCGGCUGGAGUGACGGUACCUUCACAAGAAGCACCGGCUAACUACGUGCCAGCAGCCGCGGUAAUACGUAGGGUGCAAGCGUUGUCCGGAAUUAUUGGGCGUAAAGAGCGUGUAGGCGGCCUCAUCAGUCCGCUGUGAAAGUCCAGGGCUCAACCCUGGGAUGCCGGUGGAUACUGUGAGGCUAGAGUCCGGAAGGGGCGAGUGGAAUUCCUGGUGUAGCGGUGAAAUGCGCAGAUAUCAGGAGGAACACCAAUGGCGAAGGCAGCUCGCUGGGACGGUACUGACGCUGAGACGCGAAAGCGUGGGGAGCAAACAGGAUUAGAUACCCCCGUAGUCC
rnacentral:rRNA from 1 species